rnacentral:tRNA from 1 species
GCGGGUGUGGCGGAAUUGGCAGACGCACCAGACUUAGGAUCUGGCGCCGCAAGGCGUGGGGGUUCGACUCCCUUCACCCGCAC